rnacentral:rRNA from 1 species
UACGUAGGGGGCAAGCGUUAUCCGGAUUUACUGGGUGUAAAGGGAGCGUAGACGGUAAUGCAAGUCUGGAGUGAAAUGCAGGGGCUCAACCCCUGAACUGCUUUGGAAACUGUAUGACUGGAGUGCAGGAGAGGUAAGUGGAAUUCCUAGUGUAGCGGUGAAAUGCGUAGAUAUUAGGAGGAACACCAGUGGCGAAGGCGGCUUACUGGACUGUAACUGACGUUGAGGCUCGAAAGCGUGGGGAGCAAACAGG